GACAGAGGGGGCAAGCGUUGCUCGGAAUUACUGGGCGUAAAGGGCGCGUAGGCGGGAUGGCAAGUCGGUCGUGAAAUCCUUCGGCUCAACCGAAGAACGUCGAUCGAUACUGCUGUUCUUGAGGGUUGCAGAGGAGACUGGAAUUCCCGGUGUAGCGGUGAAAUGUGUAGAUAUCGUAAGGAAGACCAGUGGCGAAGGCGGGUCUCUGGACAGUUCCUGACGCUGAGGCACGAAGGCCAGGGGAGCAAACGGG
rnacentral:rRNA from 1 species